CGAAUGUCAAUGAAAGAGCGAGUAAGUUUUUGAAACUUUACAAGAGAGGAUCAUCGAGGCUGAAAAUGAUCUAAAGUUUCAUUAGCCUAAAGACACUCUGGAGAUGGACGAGUGAAAAGCCGUCCCGCGUACGAGCGUUAUUCGUAAGAGGAAAGAGAAAUCUUUCAAAAUUAGGUGGUACCGUGUAUGAAUUUCAUUCACCCUUGUU
rnacentral:ncRNA from 1 species